rnacentral:rRNA from 1 species
UAAUCAAACUUGGAGAUAGCUCGUACUCCCCGAAAUGCAUUUAGGUGCAGCCUUUAUUUAGUAUAGCAUGAGGUAGAGCGACUGAUUGGAUGCGAGGGCUUCACCGCCUAUCAAGUCCAGAUAAACUCCGAAUGCGUGUUAUAUAUUGAUAAGGAGUGAGGGCGCGGGUGCUAAGGUCCGCGUCCGAGAGGAGAAGAAUCCAGACCAUCAGCUAAGGUCCCCAAAUAACAGUUAAGUUGAACUAACGAAGUCGGACUGCAGAGACAGCUAGGAUGUUGGCUUGGAAGCAGCCAUUCAUUUAAAGAGUGCGUAACAGCUCACUAGUCGAGGAGUCCGGCGUGGAUAAUACUCGGGCAUAAACUGUUUACCGAAGCUAUGGAUGUGUAAACACAUGGUAGGGGAGCAUUCCAACGGCGUCGAAGGUGAAGGAUGACCUUUGCUGGAGCUUUUGGAAACGCAAAUGUAGGUAUAAGUAACGAUAAAGGAGGUGAGAAACCUCCUCGCCGAAAGACUAAGGUUUCCUGAUCAACGUUAAUCGGAUCAGGGUAAGUCGGGACCUAAGGUUAAGCCGAACGGCGAUACCGAUGGAAGAAUGGUUUAAUAUUCCCAUACUACUUUAUGGAGCGAUGUGGAGACGGAGAAGUGAAAGUCCUGCCAUCUGACGGAAUAGGUGGUUGAAGAGUGUAGAUGUAGAUUCCUGUAGGCAAAUCCGCAGGGAGAGUCGACCUUGACAGUAUGCCGCGUGCUUGCACAAGGCAAAAUGGACGUAAUCAGGCUCCCAAGAAAAUCCGCUAAGCAUAUUCAUAAAGUACCCGUACCGUAAACGGACACACGUAGUUGGGUUGAAAAUACUGAGGCGCUCGAGUGAUUCACGGUUAAGGAACUAGGCAAAUUGACCCUGUAACUUCGGGAUAAAGGGUCCCUACUGAGAGGUAGGGCGCAGAGAAUAGGUCCAGGCAACUGUUUAACAAAAACACAUGGCUGUGCGAAAUAGAAAUAUGAAGUAUACAGCCUGACACCUGCCCGGUGCUGGAAGGUUAAGAGGAGAUGUCAUCGCAAGAGAAGCAUUGAAUUGAAGCCCCAGUAAACGGCGGCCGUAACUAUAACGGUCCUAAGGUAGCGAAAUUCCUUGUCGGGUAAGUUCCGACCUGCACGAAUGGUGUAAUGAUCUGGACGCUGUCUCAACCGUGAGCUCAGUGAAAUUGUAGUAUCGGUGAAGAUGCCGAUUACCCGCGAUGGGACGAAAAGACCCCGUGAACCUUUACUAUAGCUUAACAUUGAAUUUGGGUAAUUGAUGUGUAGGAUAGGCCGGAGGCUUCGAAGCAGGUACGCCAGUAUUUGUGGAGCCGCUGUUGAAAUACGGCCCUUUGAUUAUUUGAGUUCUAACCCGUGGAUACGGGGACACUGUUUGGUGGGUAGUUUGACUGGGGUGGUCGCCUCCAAAAGCGUAACGGAGGCUUCUAA